UACGAAGGGGGCGAGCGUUGUUCGGAAUUACUGGGCGUAAAGGGCGCGCAGGCGGCCGCUCAAGUCAGAUGUGAAAGUCCAGGGCUCAACCCUGGAAUGCCGGUGGAUACUGUCGGGCUCGAAUCCGGAAGAGGUGAGUGGAAUUCCUGGUGUAGCGGUGAAAUGCGCAGAUAUCAGGAGGAACACCGAUGGCGAAGGCAGGUCUCUGGGCAUUAACUGACGCUGAGGAGCGAAAGCAUGGGGAGCGAACAGG
rnacentral:rRNA from 1 species